rnacentral:rRNA from 1 species
GUCUACGGCAUGCCACCCUGAACGUGCCCGAUCUCGUCUGAUCUCGGAAACUAAGCAAGGUCGGGCCUGGUUAGUACUUGGAUGGGAGAUCACCUAGGAAUACCAGGUGCUGUAGGUG